rnacentral:rRNA from 1 species
GGACGAACGCUGGCGGCGUGCCUAAUACAUGCAAGUCGAACGGUCUUUCUAUGGAAGCUUGCUUCCACUGAGAAGAUAGUGGCGAACGGGUGAGUAACACGUGGGUAACCUGCCCAUAAGAGGGGGGAUAACAUCCGGAAACGGGUGCUAAUACCGCAUAGUUUUCUUGGUCGCAUGAUCGGGAAAGGAAAGACGGCCUUUGUGCUGUCGCUUAUGGAUGGACCCGCGGCGUAUUAGUUAGUUGGUGAGGUAACGGCUCACCAAGACGAUGAUACGUAGCCGACCUGAGAGGGUGAUCGGCCACAUUGGGACUGAGACACGGCCCAAACUCCUACGGGAGGCAGCAGUAGGGAAUCUUCCGCAAUGGACGAAAGUCUGACGGAGCAACGCCGCGUGAGUGAAAGAAGGUUUUCGGAUCGUAAAACUCUGUUGUCAGAGAAGAACAAGUUGGAGAGUAACUGCUCCAGCCUUGACGGUAUCUGACCAGAAAGCCACGGCUAACUACGUGCCAGCCGCGGC